rnacentral:lncRNA from 1 species
CACCUCCUCCCUCACCAUCUCCGACGCCACCCUACUACUACAAAUCACCGCCACCUCCAUCUCCUUCUCUGCCUCCACCAUACUACUACAAGUCUCCACCUCCUCCUUCACCGUCACCACCACGACCUUACUAUUAUAAGUCACCGCCACCUCCUUCUCCCUCGCCUCCACCACCUUAUUAUUACAAGUCUCCACCGCCACCUUCUUCUUCUCCCCUCCCACCAUACUACUACAAGUCCCCUCCUCCUCCUUCUCCCUCACAUCCAACGCCUUACUAUUAUAAGUCUCCACCACCACCGGCGAAAUCUCGGCUGCCACCCUACUACUAUAAGUCACCACCACCACCGGCUAAGUCUCCCCCUCCGCCAUACUACUACGUGUCUCCACCACCACCAGUAAAGUUUCCUCCUUCACCAUACUACUAUAAAUCUCCGCCGCCACCUUACCACCGUGGGCUUGUCGUUAAGGUGGUCGGAAAGGUCUAUUGCUACAAAUGCUACAAUUGGGAACACCCAAUGGAGUCAUACCGCAAGAAGCUCUUGAAAGGUAAAUUCGAAAUGAGUGCUGUUAAAAAAAAAGAUCAUCUGAUUUUUUCAUUUCAAUAAUUUCUUAACGGUGGUUAUUUGUAUGACUAAAGAGAUAAGGAAUUUCCUUCUUCAUUUUAUUUUUUAAAUUUUAUUUUUAAAUAAACCAUGGAUAAUGGCAACAAAAUAUUGGGCUUCUUCCUUAAAGAUUGUUAAACUAUCUUUAGUUUUGAACUCAAUUAUCUAUCCUCAGUUGUGAGAGAGAGACUUUUUGGAAGUCACAGUACCGAGCUGACCCAGCAAUCUGCAGCUUAGCUGAGUUCUCUUGUUGGCUGCCUAAUUCCUAGCUUCAGAUGGAAAUUUUUGUUUAUAUAUACAAAUUACAUUGUUUGUUCUAUUUAUAAGACACUGUGCACCCUGUUGUAAUGAAUACUGCAGUGUUUCUAUGGUAGCGUUCAAAAAAUCCAAUCAAAGCAGAUCGAUGUCACAUUGCCCAUCUUUUUUUUGUGAUGAAAUUAAGGGAGGGCUUGAUUAAUUAUCAAAAUCAGACCUAAUUAAUCAACCUAGUGUCUAUUAAUAUAUUAUCACUAAAUCAGAUAUAUAUAUUCAUCUUUUCAACAUAUAUACAUGUGGACUCUUUUCAAAAAAGAUACUGUUAAAAAAAAAAAAGUUCACACAAAGCAUCUAAUAAGGCACUAACUAUUAUCCAACCAAAGCCUCACCUUUUUUAAUCUUUUGAGCUCGAUUCCGUCCCGCCCAUACAAUCACUACUAGAAUUUUUCUCACUCAUGUAGAUUAGUCUACACAUUAAAAUACUAACCUUCUUUUUAUUUGUUUAUUUUUGGUCAAAACAUAAGCAGGCGCCGUGGUCAAGGUGACGUGCACGGCCGGCGACAAAGGGUUUGUGUCAUUCGGCCAAACAAGCAGCCAUGGUGUAUACGGCGUCGCUGUUGAAGGCUUCCCCUACUGGAAGCAUGGAUUCAAGGCCUGCAAGGUUGAGCUCCACGCUGCACCCAUGGACUCCACUUGCACCAUGCCAACCAGCCUCAACAUGGGCGACAAGUUGAAGGUUCACUCCACCUCCCAUGACGAGGUAGUCCUCAAGGCCAAGCCAUUGGCUUUCGCUCCCAUGAAGCCUUCCAAGGAGUGCAAAAAGCACCACCACAACAAGCCACCAAGCCCUGUCUGCAAGCCUCCAUCCUCACCAUCCCCACCCAUUUACUUCUACAAUUCGCCACCCCCACCGUACUACUAUGCGUCGCCACCUCCACCAUCAUAUUACUACAAGUCUCCACCGCCUCCGGUGAAGACGUUGCCGCCAUACUAUUACAAGUCUCCACCACCACCAGUGAAGUCUGAACGACCUCCUUACUACUACAAGUCCCC